rnacentral:rRNA from 1 species
GAGUUUGAUCGUGGCUCAGAUUGAACGCUGGCGGCAGGCCUAACACAUGCAAGUCGAGCGGAUGACGGGAGCUUGCUCCUUGAUUCAGCGGCGGACGGGUGAGUAAUGCCUAGGAAUCUGCCUGGUAGUGGGGGACAACGUUUCGAAAGGAACGCUAAUACCGCAUACGUCCUACGGGAGAAAGCAGGGGACCUUCGGGCCUUGCGCUAUCAGAUGAGCCUAGGUCGGAUUAGCUAGUUGGUGGGGUAAUGGCUCACCAAGGCGACGAUCCGUAACUGGUCUGAGAGGAUGAUCUGCCACACUGGAACUGAGACACGGUCCAGACUCCUACGGGAGGCAGCAGUGGGGAAUUUUGGACAAUGGGGCAACCCUGAUCCAGCCAUGCCGCGUGAGUGAAGAAGGCC